rnacentral:lncRNA from 1 species
CCGGUCCUUUACGAUUUUUAGAUUUAUAUUUGGAGACGAAAUUACCUUUUACUCCUCCUCGCAAUAAAAGAAGUCAAUCAAUUCCCCCAUUUUUUUCGUGGGUGCUCUCUCUUCUUCCGGAGCCACUUUUCUCUCUCCGUCGCCGGCCACAAUCCGCCUCUUCCCUCUCCCAAGCCGAGAUCUUUCGUGGAGGAAAGGAAAAACCCCGUCGCCGACCGGCCACGACCAAUGCGGAAAGGAGAUCCACCGUGUCGCCGUCGACCGCGCCCCGAUCCGACAGAGAGCUAUCUUCCCCGAGCACGACCCGCCUCCCGAGCGGAGAAGAGAUCU